GCGCCUGUAUCCCAAGCGGUAGAGGAACGCGGUUCAGAGCCGCGCCAGUGCGAGUUCGAGUCUCGCUGGGCGCA
rnacentral:tRNA from 1 species